rnacentral:lncRNA from 1 species
UCCAUGCUCACUUCUUCCUACUUCCAAGUAGGAAUAGCGAACUCCUGCAUUGAACCACUAGGUUUAUGAUGCUCUAUCUUAACCUGCUGACAUGUAGAGCACUUAGCCAUAAACUCUGCAACAUCCCUCUUCAUCCCACUUCACCAAUAGAUCUCUCACAAGUUGCAGUACAUCUUAGUGGCCCCUCGAUGAAUAGAGUAUCAUACACCAUGC